UUUCCCCCCGGGAAACUAGCAUAUCAAUAAGCGGAGGAAAAGAAACCAACAGGGAUUGCCCUAGUAACGGCGAGUGAAGCGGCAACAGCUCAAAUUUGAAAUCUGGCUCUUUCAGAGUCCGAGUUGUAAUUUGCAGAGGGCGCUUUGGCUUUGGCAGCGGUCCAAGUUCCUUGGAACAGGACGUCACAGAGGGUGAGAAUCCCGUACGUGGUCGCUAGCUAUUGCCGUGUAAAGCCCCUUCGACGAGUCGAGUUGUUUGGGAAUGCAGCUCUAAAUGGGAGGUAAAUUUCUUCUAAAGCUAAAUAUUGGCCAGAGACCGAUAGCGCACAAGUAGAGUGAUCGAAAGAUGAAAAGCACUUUGGAAAGAGAGUCAAACAGCACGUGAAAUUGUUGAAAGGGAAGCGCUUGCAGCCAGACUUGCUUGCAGUUGCUCAUCCGGGCUUUUGCCCGGUGCACUCUUCUGCAGGCAGGCCAGCAUCAGUUUGGGCGGUGGGAUAAAGGUCUCUGUCACGUACCUUCCUUCGGGUUGGCCUUAUAGGGGAGACGCCAUACCACCAGCCUGGACUGAGGUCCGCGCAUCUGCUAGGAUGCUGGCGUAAUGGCUGUAAGCGGCCCGUCUUGAAACACGGACCAAGGAGUCUAACAUCUAUGCGAGUGUUUGGGUGUCAAGCCCGAGCGCGUAAUGAAAGUGAACGGAGGUGGGAACCCGCAAGGGUGCACCAUCGACCGAUCCUGAAGUUUACGGAAGGAUUUGAGUAAGAGCAUGGCUGUUGGGACCCGAAAGAUGGUGAACUAUGCUUGAAUAGGGUGAAGCCAGAGGAAACUCUGGUGGAGGCUCGCAGCGGUUCUGACGUGCAAAUCGAUCGUCAAAUUUGGGCAUAGGGGCGAAAGACUAAUCGAACUAUCUAGUAGCUGGUUCCUGCGAG
rnacentral:rRNA from 1 species